UGGGGCAGGAGCGUCCUUGCUGUCCUGUGCCCUCCUGGCUUCUGCCUGUCCCGGGGGGAGCUCCGGAUCUUGGGCUGUGUCCCCGGCGCUGAGCUCCCGGGCCUGCGCUGUUGGA
rnacentral:miRNA from 1 species